UACAGAGGUCUCAAGCGUUGUCCGGAAUCAUUGGGCGUAAAGAGCGUGUAGGCGGCUUGUUAAGUCUUGCGUGAAAUCUCGGGGCUCAACCCCGAGCGGUCGUGAGAAACUGGCAGGCUAGAGUGCGGGAGAGGAGAGUGGAAUUCCUGGUGUAGCGGUGAAAUGCGCAGAUAUCAGGAGGAACACCGGUGGCGAAGGCGGGACUCUGGGCCGAUACUGACGCUGAGGAGCGAAAGCGUGGGGAGCAAACAGG
rnacentral:rRNA from 1 species